rnacentral:rRNA from 1 species
GAUGAACGCUGGCGGCGUGCCUAAUACAUGCAAGUCGAGCGAACAGACGAGGAGCUUGCUCCUCUGACGUUAGCGGCGGACGGGUGAGUAACACGUGGAUAACCUACCUAUAAGACUGGGAUAACUUCGGGAAACCGGAGCUAAUACCGGAUAAUAUAUUGAACCGCAUGGUUCAAUAGUGAAAGACGGUUUUGCUGUCACUUAUAGAUGGAUCCGCGCCGCAUUAGCUAGUUGGUAAGGUAACGGCUUACCAAGGCAACGAUGCGUAGCCGACCUGAGAGGGUGAUCGGCCACACUGGAACUGAGACACGGUCAAGACUCCUACGGGAGGCAGCAGUAGGGAAUCUUCCGCAAUGGGCGAAAGCCUGACGGAGCAACGCCGCAUGAGUGAUGAAGGUCUUCGGAUCGUAAAACUCUGUUAUUAGGGAAGAACAAAUGUGUAAGUAACUAUGCACGUCUUGACGGUACCUAAUCAGAAAGCCACGGCUAACUACGUG